rnacentral:lncRNA from 1 species
CUACUUCGCGUGUCCACAAACUCUGAACGCCCAGUGUCCGCGCAUCGCCGCCGCCGGAGUUCUCCACCCUGCGUCCCGGGGGCCCUUCCCAGCUUCUCCUCCUCCCACCUUGGGGGAACCUAGCGGAGCCAGGCGGGGACGGCUCCCCGGCGGGUGGAGCAGCCAGGUGAGCCCAGAAAGGUGGGGCGGGGCGGGAGCGCUCCGGGCCCCACCCCGGGAUCCGGUGACGCCGGGGCUGGAAUUUGACACCGGACGGCGGCGGGCAUGAGACUGCUGAGGGAUGGAGUUGGGCCCGGCCCCCAGACACGGCCCACGGGCUCCACCAGCAGCAGGUCCCUCGGGCCCCAGCCCUCCCUGCGUCCCAGACCCAGGGCCCUGCACCCGCGGUAAGCUGACCUGUUUGCCCACCCCUCGUCCCAGCCCUGGGUUUAGGGGGAGCAGUCAGAAUAGUUCCCCUCCACUCUUUUCUUACAUCCUCCCUCUCCUGGGCCCAAUGCGCAGCUCUCCGCCCCUCCCAGCCCCCUCAGUCCUUCUUGUCGCUGGUCCGACUGCGGACGCCCUGCCAGCCCGCUGUAAUGUGAGGCUCUCACUGCUGCUACAGGGCACAGACUGGCUGCCAAGGCCACACUUUUGGCUAAAAGGCGCUGCCAGGUGCAUAGUCCUGGGCAUGAGCCUUUUGAGCUGCGGGGGAAAGCCGGGCACUGGUCCCAGGAAAGGUGCCUAGAAGAACACGGCGCAGGAUUCCUGUGUGAGAGCCUGGCCCCUCAGGGCCCGUUUUCAAUUAGCUGAUCACACUUGGCCCUGAAGGACCCCACCAGGGAGGCCUGGGAGAUCCAGACCACAGGCCACAACUUCCUCCUCUGCAGCCUGGAGAGAAGACUGUAGGACGAGGGCGUCCAACUACUCUCUUCUCCAGCCAAUCCUGGCAGCUCCAGCCCUGCAGCACAGAGCAGGAAGGUCCUGGGGAAAGAGACUCCCCCCACCCGCUGUGUGGGCCUAGCCUUGGGACCUUAGCAGUCGCUGAGCUUCUCUGAGCCUAGUUUGCUCAUCUGGAAAAUGGAGAUUACACCGUUUACCUCGUGGAGUUGUGAGGACUGAAAGAGGGCACAGAUGCAAAGUGCCAAGACAUAGUUUCUCCAUGCAGCUCUCUCUCGUCCUCCUGGGUCGAGUCUAGCUCCCCAAGCCCCUUGUUCCUCACCUGGGGAAACGGAAGUGGAGGGAUGAGCUGCUCAAAGGAUAACCCAUCUUUCAAUGUUCGAAGCUGCCUCAAGAGGAGGGUGGGGAAACAGGUCAACUGCGGCUGAUGGGAGCUCUUGGUAGUGACAGAGAUGGAACCUGGAUGUGGAGGCCCUUCUGAGCCGCCCCACGGGCCUCGGCCUAGGCGGCUGCCGGCCUUGUGGCCAACCCUGGCCGCUCUGGCCCUGCUGAGCAGCGUCGCCGAGGCCUCCCUGGGCCCCGCGCCCCGCAGCCCCGCCACCCGCGAAGGCCCCGCGCCCGUCCCGGCGCCCCCCGCCGGCCACCUGCCCGGUAGGUGAGAGGGCGAGGGGCGGGGGCGGGCGGGGGCUGGCCCGGGACCCCGCCCGUGACUCCGUCUCAUUCCAGGGGGCCGCGCGGCCCGCGUAUGCGGCGGAAGAGCCCGGCGGCCGUCGCCGC